rnacentral:tRNA from 1 species
GUCCCUGUAGCGCAACGGAUAGUGCGUUGGACUUCUUAUUCAAAGGGCGUGGGUUCUAAUCCCACCUGGGAUG